UACGAAGGGGGCUAGCGUUGUUCGGAAUUACUGGGCGUAAAGCGCGCGCAGGCGGCCUUUCAAGUCGGUGGUGAAAUCCCAGAGCUCAACCCUGGAAUUGCCAUCGAAACUGUAAGGCUUGGGUACGGGAGAGGUGAGUGGAAUUCCGAGUGUAGAGGUGAAAUUCGUAGAUAUUCGGAAGAACACCAGUGGCGAAGGCGACUCGCUGGACCGGUAUUGACGCUGAGGUGCGAAAGCGUGGGGAGCAAACAGG
rnacentral:rRNA from 1 species